rfam:Ornithorhynchus anatinus chromosome 3, whole genome shotgun sequence.
AUCCUCCCAGGAUCCCACCUGCAGAGUUUCCAGUAUUCUACCAGUCUCGGCUAUGGGAGGGAGAAUCAAGCAGAGGCAUACCUAUUCCAUUCCUAGCUUGGGCAGUGGCUAGUGAGUGGAAGCUAAUCUGCUACAAGU